CUGGGUGCGGGCGCAUGUGUAGGGGCAUGUACAUCCAGGUGGCUUUGUGCCAUGUGGCUUUGCGCCCCAGGCCCUUGUCUUCCCAUCUGUGUGUGAUUGGCAUGUGACUCUGCCUGAGUGCGUUUGUUCAUUUGUGUGUUUCCAUGUGGUCAUGUGCGAUGGUAGCUCAGUUGCUUUUUGUGUAUUUUAUUUGGCUUCGUGCGGCGAAGGGCAGCGUGUGUGUUUUGCGUGUGUGUGUGUGUGUGUGUGUGUGUGUGUGCUUGUGUCUGCAGGAAGAGUGGGGCCGGUAGGGAGCUCUGGCUACCCAAGCAUUGCCGUCUGUCUCUCUCCCUCCACUGGCUCCAUCUGCCCUCGCUGAGGUCGUGACAAGGAGGAAAACAGCAAAACGGCAAACAGCUAUGGUGGGAGAAACAAGAACAUUGUACGCCCCGCGCAGACUCCCCCUGCGGGGGACAGACGGACGGACGGGGACACACACACACACACACACCCCCGCCGGGGCACACAGGCUGCUCCGCGGACACGCUUCACGGAGCAGGUGCGCCCACUCGCAAUACCCUCCUGGCCCACAGGCCUCCGCACGCACAGGACACACAUACACUCGCUGCUGACCUCCCUCCCGCCGCCCCUCCUCUGAGCCCUGCUGCGCGGCCUUCCGCAUCUCCCAGCGCCUGCAGGAGUUGGGGGCGCUGGGGCUGGGGGCGCUCAUUCGGACCUCGGAGCCAAUAGCCAGAUACCUAAUGGCUCCUUUGGCCAUGGAAGGGGGUGUGCGUGGGUGUCCUCUCCUUCACUCCUUCCCCAGCCCGGUCGCCUCCCACCCCCCUUCCGGCCCGCGGCAGUUUCCGAAAUCGCCCGGCGGCCGAGAAUUCAUUAGCGGGGGGCGGAUGUAAACGCAGCGCGGUGGAACGUUUUAA